rnacentral:rRNA from 1 species
GGAGUAACACGUGGAUAACCUACCUAUAAGACUGGGAUAACUUCGGGAAACCGGAGCUGAUACCGGAUAAUAUUUUGAACCGCAUGGUUCAAAAGUGAAAGACGGUCUCGCUGUCACUUAUAGAUGGAUCCGCGCUGCAUUAGCUAGUUGGUAAGGUAACGGCUUACCAAGGCAACGAUGCAUAGCCGACCUGAGAGGGUGAUCGGCCACACUGGAACUGAGACACGGUCCAG